UCUUGAUGUGGCUGCUUGCGAGCCUGGCUGUUGCAUCCAUCUGCAAAGCAGUGGAAUAUAUAUACGCUGAGCAGGAAGAGAAUCCUUCCGUGAUCAAGUCCAUCUUCAGUUCUCUUCCGGGAGCUCUCUUCCGGCUCUUUGUGACAUCUAUCUGGGUCCUCUUGCUCACUCUUGCUACGAUUAUCACUGUUUCGCUUCCAUUCUACCUGCUAGCUUUGGUCUUCAAGCAGGCACCUAUCUUGGCACUCCUUCAACAAGUGUUCCUUUCUGUCUCCCUCACUAUCCUGGGAUUCAUAUUCCUGUUGUCGCAAGAAGUAGCAGUUUUGGAGCCUGC
rnacentral:lncRNA from 1 species